rnacentral:rRNA from 1 species
UGUAAGCGUAUACCAAAGUUGUUGCAGUUAAAACGCUCGUAGUCGGAAUUUGGCAGUUCCGGAAGUGUGCACGUCGUGUGCGCACUUUGCGGGGACUGCUUUUGUGGUCUUGCGUAGGAUGAGGCACUUUCAUUAGUGAACGUCCUCACGCAACCACUCUUUACUGGGAGAAAAUCAGAGUGCUCAAAGCAGGCAUUUGCCGUGAAUGUAUUAGCAUGGAAUAAUAGAAUAGGACUCGGUUCUAUUUUGUUGGUUUGUUGGGACUGAGUAAUGAUUAAGAGGGACAGUUGGGGGCAUUUGUAUUCCGGCGCUAGAGGUGAAAUUCUUAGAUUGCCGGAAGACAAACUGCUGCGAAAGCGUCUGCCAAGGAUGUUUUCAUUGA